CCGCCUCCGGUACGUGGGCGGGAGACACAGCCUCCCCCGGCCCGCACAGCCCAGCUCCGGCAGCUAUGGAGAUGCGUGCUGCGGCGGCACCUGUGCGCACACUGUGACACCCGCUAUUCUGACACACGUGCGCUCUCACUGUCUCCAGACACCACGAGCCGCACGCGUUCACACCCACACUCACCUGCGGGGACCACGUGGGAGAAUCUGGAGGGCUGACCCUGCUGCGGUACAGUCGCAGUGGCAAUGAUGCGAGAAUCUUUUAACUCCCUCGCCGACUGGACUGUCAACUCCUUGGCGUCAGGGACGAGGUCGUGCUGGCUCAGCAGUGCCCGGCAUCGCGCAGGCACUUCAGUAAACCUCCGUGGAGUGAGUGUGUGAAUGAAUUAAGUGGAACUGUGCACCGGGAAGCAGCUGCCUAUAAAUGCUGAAGUUCAAAACAACAAGUGAAGAAAAUUACCCUGGUAAUGAAAGGGUUACUGCUAUUAUAUUGCUGCUAAUCCAGUUUGGGGAAAACUUCAGGUUGCUAGGAGGAGAUAACCAAGUCCAUCCAAGAAGAAAAGCAAAGGACUAAAGAAUGCAGCCCUCCAGCUCCUCUUUGGUGAAACUUGGACAUGUCCACAGGUACCCAGCAUGCUUCAAGCCAAUCCAUGGAUCCAAACCCUUGUCAGCUACAUGGUUUCCAGCACUACCAUUCAGUUUGCUAUCAACUGUGCCACCAGGCUGAGCCUUAGCAUGGUGCUUUUUAGGGCUGUUCAUGAGUAGCAUGCAUUGCUACUUUGUUUUUCUUGCCAAAUAAAAUUUUAUUGUAUAGACAUUUUGUUUAUCCAUCAGUGUGUAGACAUUUGGGUUAUUACCACUUUUUAGCAUUUAUGGAUAAUGCUGUUACAAACUUUGUGUCCAAGCUGUAGUGUAGACACAAAUGUUUUCAUUUGUCUUGGAUAUAUAUACUUAGCAGUAUAAUUCCUGUGUCAUAUAGUUACUCACAUUUUUUGAGGGACUGCCAGACUCUUCCAAAGUGGAUGCUCCAUUUUACAUUCCCAUCAGCAGUACAAGAGGAGAUAAUUACUCUUAGAUUCAGAUGCUCCCUACCUCUUAGCUGUGAAAUCCUGUGCCAAGUGUACAUAACUCUCAACCUGAGUCCAUCAUCUGUAGAACAGAGAUAAUGAUAGUAUCUACUUCAUGGGAGUGUUAAUAUUCCUGGUACAAAGUAAAUCCUUAAUAAAUAUUAGUUCCUCUCCUUCCAUCUUUGGUAUUUGGUUAGCAACAUUUAUUCUGUAACUCCCUAUUAACAAUAAGUGAUGCAUCCACAUAGCUGGUGCUGAAUAAAUACUUUUCAUGGGUAAUUGUAAAAGCAAUAAAAAUUUAUGUUUUAAUACCAAAAUAAA